ACUCUUUCAGCAGGGAAGAAGCGAAAGUGACGGUACUGCAGAAGAAGCGCCGGCUAACUAGUGCCAGCAGCCGCGGUAAUACGUAGGGCGCAAGCGUUGUCCGGAAUUAUUGGGCGUAAAGCUCGUAGGCGGCUUGUCACGUCGGUUGUGAAAGCCCGGGGCUUAACCCCGGGUCUGCAGUCGAUACGGGCAGGCUAGAGUUCGGUAGGGGAGAUCGGAAUUCCUGGUGUAGCGGUGAAAUGCGCAGAUAUCAGGAGGAACACCGGUGGCGAAGGCGGAUCUCUGGGCCGAUACUGACGCUGAGGAGCGAAAGCGUGGGGAGCGAACAGGAUUAGAUACCCUGGUAGUCCACGCCGUAAACGGUGGGCACUAGGUGUGGGCAACAUUCCACGUUGUCCGUGCCGCAGCUAACGCAUUAAGUGCCCCGCCUGGGGAGUACGGCCGCAAGGCUAAAACUCAAGGAAUUGACGGGGGCCCGCACAAGCGGCGGAGCAUGUGGCUUAAUUCGACGCACGCGAAGAACCUUACCAAGGCUUGACAUACACCGGAAACCCUGGAGACAGGGUCCCCCUUGUGGUCGGUGUACAGGUGGUGCAUGGCUGUCGUCAGCUCGUGUCGUGAGAUGUUGGGUUAAGUCCCGCAACGAGCGCAACCCUUGUCCCGUGUUGCCGGCAGGCCCUUGUGGUGCUGGGGACUCACGGGAGACCGCCGGGGUCAACUCGGAGGAGGGUGGGGACGACCUCAAGUCAUCAGGCCCCUUAUGUCUUGGGCUGCACACGUGCUACAAUGGCCGGUACAAUGAGCUGCGAUACCGCGAGGUGGAGCGAAU
rnacentral:rRNA from 1 species